rnacentral:rRNA from 1 species
ACGGGAGGCAGCAGUGGGGAAUAUUGCACAAUGGGCGAAAGCCUGAUGUAGCGACGCCGCGUGAGCGAUGAAGUAUUUCGGUAUGUAAAGCUCUAUCAGCAGGGAAGAUAAUGACGGUACCUGACUAAGAAGCACCGGCUAAAUACGUGCCAGCAGCCGCGGUAAUACGUAUGGUGCAAGCGUUAUCCGGAUUUACUGGGUGUAAAGGGAGCGUAGGCGGCAUGGCAAGUCUGAUGUGAAAACCCAGGGCUCAACCUUGGGAUUGCAUUGGAAACUGUCAAGCUAGAGUGUCGGAGGGGUAAGUGGAAUUCCCAGUGUAGCGGUGAAAUGCGUAGAUAUUGGGAGGAACACCAGUGGCGAAGGCGGCUUACUGGACGAUUACUGACGCUGAGGCUCGAAAGCGUGGGGAGCAAACAGGAUUAGAUACCCUGGUA